UUUUGCGCCGCUUGCNACUAAAGCACCGGAUCCCAUCAGAACUCUGAAGUUAAGCCUGCUUGGGCGAGAGUAGUACUAGGAUGGGUGACCUCCUGGGAAGUCCUCGUGUUGCAUUCC
rnacentral:rRNA from 1 species